GCAAAGAUUUCAGGCAGCUGCUUUAUGGUUGUACUGGGGACUGUGCCAACGGCAGUGAAGUACAAAGUUCAGUUCAUUAUUUACUAAAGCACUGGAAACUUCAAACAGACUGUGUGGUAAUAGAUGGCCACCCUACUAUUCUGAGGCUGUGAGGCCUUAGGAAAUAUCCUCUCCACAUCCUCUGCCUACCACUUAUCUACACAAGAGAUGUGGUAUUCCAAAAGGGCCCGAAGGAUCAUUGAGGACUCGAGUCACCUCAACCACAAACUGUUCCAGCUGCUACCAUCCGGGAAAUGGUACCGCAGUAUAAAAGUCAGGAGCAACAGGCUCUGAGACAGCUUCUUCCACCAGCCCAUCAGACUGAUUAAUUCACGCUGAUACAAUUGUAUUUCUAUGCUAUACUGACUGUCCUGUUGUACAUACUAUUUCUUACA